rnacentral:rRNA from 1 species
AUUGAACGCUGGCGGCAUGCCUUACACAUGCAAAUCGAACGGUAACGGGCCUUCGGGUGCCGACGAGUGGCGAACGGGUGAGUAAUACAUCGGAACGUGCCCGAUCGUGGGGGAUAACGAGGCGAAAGCUUUGCUAAUACCGCAUACGAUCUACGGAUGAAAGCAGGGGACCGCAAGGCCUUGCGCGGACGGAGCGGCCGAUGGCAGAUUAGGUAGUGGGUGGGAUAAAAGCUUACCAAGCCGACGAUCUGUAGCUGGUCUGAGAGGAUGAUCAGCCACACUGGGACUGAGACACGGCCCAGACUCCUACGGGAGGCAGCAGUGGGGAAUUUUGGACAAUGGGCGCAAGCCUGAUCCAGCCAUGCCGCGUGCAGGAUGAAGGCCUUCGGGUUGUAAACUGAUUUUGUACGGAACGAAAAGCCUUCUUUUAAUACAGGAGGGUCAUGACGGUACCGUAAGAAUAAGCACCGGCUAACUACGUG